GAUGAAGUAGUGAGAGUUACAUUUUCUGAAGAGGGGAAAGCGGUAUUUAUAGAUGGAGAACCCCAAACGAUGCCGCCUCUUCAAACCCUAGUGGGUUCAAGGUUGUCGCCGCAGAAGAGGGAAGACCAGCGUGAAGGAAGGAGUCAACCUCCCACUCCUCUCGUAACGAUCUACAACGUUCAAAAAUCCAGCAGUGCGGAGGCGCCCAACUUCCGAUUCGUGCGACCACGAUCCAAGGUUGAAAGGGCAACGUUUGAUUUUCAACUUGGAAACUGUCUCCACUUCACCCAUGCUUCCGAGAUUUCCUCCAAGGGCACUAUGAAGAAGUUAGGGUUUUUCUGCGCAUCCUCUAUUUCUGUUUCUGCACUUUAUUUUGCAAUACAUACUCUGUUUUUACAACAAUCCCCCACAUAUUGCAAAAGAUAAAACAUAGAGAUAAGAAGAAGAAAAAAAUGGGUAUGUAAUGCACCAGAUCUGGUAUAGCAAGCUAUAUGAACUAGUCUUAGACUAAUGAACGUAACACAUAGUGUAGUUGGUAUAGCAAGCUAUAUGAACCAAGACACUUAGUAUGUGUUAGAGGUUUAUCAAUCACAAUACACCCUCACAUUACUUGUUGUUAUCGCUGUGUUGCGCUACUAGGUCAUGCGCGUGCCCGGUAUUCAUGAGUGCUAUAGAGAUCUUGCCAAGAUCUCAUGCAAGCGGCCCCACUUGACACUCAUAUAGGUGAUUUGUAAGGAUCUAGAAAAUAACUUAGAGUAGAAGUGGUAUAUUUUAAAUGAUACCUGAAUAUUUUAUUAUUAAAAUGAAAAUGACAUAUAAAUUGAAAAUUCAGUUAUUCAGGUUUCAUUUUAAAAUAACCACCAUCCCUCUAAAAGUUUCCUUUUCCUUUCUCUUCCUUCUCUCUAAGAUUCUGAUCUCUUCGCUCAUCAGUUUGGCGAUCGGAGUCUGCCGUUGGACUCUUGGUAAUGAACCCUAUAAGUUUGCCGGAUCAAAAUAUCAGAUAGAGUAAGUUCCUUAGAUUCUGAUCUCUUCGCUCAUCAGUUUGGCGAUCGGAGUCUGCCGUUGGACUCUUGGUAAUGAACCCUAUAAGUUUGCCGGAUCAAAAUAUCAGAUAGAGUAAGUUCCUUCUUGGCUCCUUUUUCUUUUGAGUUAAUUUUGAUCUUAUUAGAUUUUGUACGGGUUAAUCUUAGAUUUUGUACGGGUUAAUCUCUGUUAACUCAAGGUCCUAGUUCUAUAGUUAGAUUUUGAUUAGGACUCUGUGGUGCAGGUUAAUUACCUUUAGUUUUGGGUAGAUUUGGAGUUCUUAGUGAGCAUAAGCUAAAGUUCAGGUAAGGGAAGCUAGUCUUAUUAUUUUCAAUAAAACCCUAGGUUAGAAGAUUAUGUGGAGGUAACGUGGUCACCAAUUCCAAUUAUUUUUGCUUGCAGGAUUGUAAAGUAAUAUAUUGACUGGAAUGGUUGAUUUUGAAUCUUUUAUAUUGAUUUUAAGGUGAAUAAUUUGUUGAAACUGUUUGUGAUUGAGAAUAAGUGUUUGAAUGAUAAUAUAAAUGAGUUGAGCUAUUCUUUUUGAAUAUUUUGGUUGAAUUACUUAAGUGAGAUGUUUGAUGAGAAGUGGUUGUGUGAUUUCAGAUGAUGAUUGAUUUAAAGAGCAUAUAUUUGGAAUUAAUUAUGUGUUUUAAGUAAAGUUUGAGAUAUAUUUGGAUUGUUUAGAAAGNNNNNNNNNNNNNNNNNNNNNNNNNNNNNNNNNNNNNNNNNNNNNNNNNNNNNNNNNNNNNNNNNNNNNNNNNNNNNNNNNNNNNNNNNNNNNNNNNNNNNNNNNNNNNNNNNNNNNNNNNNNNNNNNNNNNNNNNNNNNNNNNNNNNNNNNNNNNNNNNNNNNNNNNNNNNNNNNNNNNNNNNNNNNNNNNNNNNNNNNNNNNNNNNNNNNNNNNNNNNNNNNNNNNAUUUGGCUGAUUCUGAGGUUUGAAAGAACUGAUCAGAGCAUAUCAAAUGGAUUUACCCUGUCAUAUGAAGAUGAUGAGAUGAUGAGAUAUUGAGAUAAUUAUGUGCAUGGCUGUGUGGGUUUCACAGCAGUAGUAUGACAGGUGCAGGUCUCUGGAUGCUAAUUUCAAUACACGAGUCUUCCGGAAGUAGAGUCAAGUGUCUAUGUGUUGUGAGUCAGUAAAAGUCUGACAUAUGAAAAAUGAAUUUUAUAAAUGUAAUAGACACUUGAGAAAUCAUGUGAGAAUUGAUGAAUUAUGCUUAUUAAUUUGAAAUUUAAAUUAUAUCAAAACAUUUUACAUAGAUAGCCUACCCUGUUAUUUGUUUGUGUUUGUUUCUCUAACUGUGAUGAUCGUGUAUUUACACGGGAGCAUAUGAGAUUGCAGGUAAUAGAGCUCCGCAGCAGAAGGAUUAGAUAGAUUUAAAUUGAAUGUUUUGCUUUGUUUUGUUUUUAAACUUUUUGGAUGUAUAUAUUAAAUCCUUAUGAAGAGGAAUAUAUUUUGAGAUACAAAUAUGAGAAAACAAUAUAUGUUUAUAUGUUAAUUAGAUAUUGUACAUUAAUUAGAUAUUGUACGCAUAUUUAUUUAUUUAUUUUUUUUUAAAAAAAAGUAAAAGUUAGGGAUGUUACAUGAUUUCAUCAAGUGUAUGCUGCAAAUUAUACACCACCCAUAAGGGAUAUGAAAAUCAUUAAAACUUUGUAAGUCAUUAAAACUAUUUUAUCUCUGAAUUUUAACCACAAAGUUUAUCCUCUCGAUUAUGCAGUAUCUAGCACUUUCACACACACCAUAGGAAUGGACAAAAUUGAUUUAAAAAUCAAUAUUAGUGCUAGCAGAACAAACAAGUGACUUGUUUUUACCCAUAUGAACCUUAUUCAUGGGAUCUCCAAUCACAAAGGUUGGGUUUUCAUCACUUGUUUGUUUGCAAGUGGCUUAAGUCCCAUUCCCCUCGAUGUUUCUAAAAUCAUUUUUCUCCCUAGGGGUUUUGUCAGAGGAUCUGCCAAAUUCCGUUCUGACUUGACAUAGUCAAUAGAAAUCGUUCCACUCUUUAACAACUGUUUCACCAAAUUGUGUCUCAAUUGUAUAUGUCUAUUCUUUCCAUUAUAGCUUUUAUUUUUAGCUAUAGCUAUUGCCGAUUGGCAAUCACAAUGCAUUGAUACAUAUGGGGUUGGUUUCAUUCCUAAAGGAAUGUUUGCUAAGAAGUUUUUCAACCACUCAACUUCACUACCAGCCAUUUCUAGAGCAACAAACUCAGAUUCCAUUGUUGAUCUUGCAAUAAUAGUUUGCCUGGCUGAUCUCCAUGUAACUGCACCACCCCCAAGUGUAAAUACAUAACCACUAGUGGAUUUUGUCUCAUCUGAAUCAGAGAUCCAGUUAGCAUCAUUGUACCCUUCUAGCACAGCGGGAAAUCCACUAUAUUCAAUGACAUAAUCCAUUGUACCUCUCAAGUAUUUCAUGAGUCUCGCAAGUGCUUCCCAAUGAUCCUGACUAGGACAUUGAGUGUAUCUACUCAAUCUACCUACUGCAUAAGCAAUAUCUGGUCUAGAAAAGCUCAUUAAAUGCAAUAAGCUCCCAAUUAUCUGGGCAUACUGAGUUUGAGAAAUAGAUUCUCCUCUGUUCUUCUUUAAUUUAGAGUUAGUAUCAUAAGGGGUACUCACUGACUUAAAGUCAUAGUAACCAAACUUCUUUAGAAGUUUCUCAGUGUAUUUUUCUUGUGAUAGUAAUAUACUAUCUCCCUUUCUUAUGAUUUUAACUCCUAGAAUCACACUGGCUUCACCCAUGUCUUUCAUCUCAAACUUAGAUCCAAGAAACAAUUUUGUUUUAAAAACUAUAUCAUUGCAUGUACCAAAAAUUAGCAUGUCAUCCACAUACAAACAUAUAAUGACAUAUUCACCAUUUUCAGAUCUAGAAUACACACAUUUAUCAGCAUCAUUGGUAGAAAAACCUUCACAAAGUAAAACAUUAUCAAGUUUUUCAUGCCAUUUUUUUGGUGCUUGUUUCAAACCAUACAAAGAUUUUAAAAGUUUGCAUACUUUUUCCUUUUGACCUGGAACUACACAUCCUUCAGGUUGAGUCAUAUAAAUUUCCUCUUCUAAUUCACCAUUCAGAAAAGCUGUUUUAACAUCCAUUUGGUGAAUUACUAACUUAUGGAUAGAUGCUAAGGCUAGCAAUACACGAAUAGAGGAAAUCCUAGUAACAGGUGCAAAAGUAUCAAAGUAAUUUAUGUUAUGUUUUUUAGUAACCCUUUAGCAACUAAUCUUGCCUUAUAUUUCUCUAUGGAUCCAUCAGGAUGGUACUUCUUCUUAAAGAUCCACUUACAACCAAUGGGUUUUGCUCCUUUAGGCAGAUCUACUAAGGUCCACGUAUUAUUUUUCUUUAUUGAAUCAAGCUCAAUUUUAAUGGCCUUAUCCCAAUGUUUAGCAUCAGGAGCACUAGUAGCUUCUACAAAACUUAUUGGAUCAUUCUCAACUAGAUAAGUAUAAAAGUCAUCUCCAAAAGAUGUUUCCUUUCUCUGUCUUUUACUUCUUCUUACAUCCUCACUCAAGGUAUCACUAACACUAUCUAUAGGUUGUUCAGAUGUACCACUACUCUUUAGAGGAAAGAUGUGUUCAAAGAACUCAGCGUUUUUUGUCUUUACUAUAGUGUUGCGUUCAAUUAUAUCACUAUUAAGAACUAGAAACCUAUAGGCAGCACUAUGUUCUGCAUAUCCUAAGAACAUACAAUCAGAUGUUUUAGAGCCUAUUUUCCUUUUCUUAGGAUCAGGUAACAUCACUUUAGCUAAACUCCCCCACACUCUUAGGUAUUUCAAAUUAGGUUGAUAACCUUUCUACAACUCAUAGGGUGUUUUACCAGUUUUCCUAUGUGGUAUCCUAUUUUGUAAAAAACACGCAGUAAGCAGAGAUUCACCCCAUAAAUUAUCAGGAGCAUUAGAACUAAUAAGCAUGGCAUUCAUCAUUUCUUUAAGAGUCCUAUUUUUCCUUUCAGCUACUCCAUUAGACUCAGGUGAAUAUGGUGGGGUUACUUCAUGAAUAAUACCUUCUUUUACACAAUAGUCAUUAAAUAAAACAUAUUCACCACUUCUAUCUGAUCUAAUUCUCUUAAUUUUCUUAUUAAGUUGAUUUUCUACUUCCGCUUUAUAAGUUAAAAACAUGUCGAAAGCUUCAUCCUUAUGUUUAAUUAAAUACACUUUGGUGUAUCUAGAAAAAUCAUCUAUAAAGGUUACAAAAUAAUUUUUACCACCUUUAGACAUGGUUUGUUUUAAAUCAGCAAGGUCGGUAUGAAUUAAACCAAGAAUUUCAGUUUGACGUUCUACAGAGUGACAUGUUUUCUUCGUUAUUUUAGAUUCUACGCAUACAUCACAUUUACUACUUUGUUUGUCAUGCAUGGUGAUUAAUCCUAGUCGUUGCAAUUUUAUAACAUAUGAAGAAUUCACAUGUCCUAAUCUAGCAUGCCAUAUAUCAUACGAGUCAACAAUAUAAGCAGAAGAUGUAGAUUCAUUCAUAAUUUCAGAAAUGUUUAAUACAAAAAGGCCUUGAUCACAAUAUCCCUUUCCCACAAAAACAUUGUUUUUUGUCAUAACAAUCUUAUCAGAUUCAAAUGACACUUUAACCCCAACUUUGCUUAGUAAUGCCACAGAGACCAAAUUAACUCUAAUUGAUGGUACAUGUAGCACAUCAUUCAAAGCUAGAGUUUGACCAGAUGUGAGCUUCAGAAGAACUUUUCCUUUUCCUAGGACAGGAGUUGUCCUGGAGUCACCGAGAUAUACUUGUNNNNNNNNNNNNNNNNNNNNNNNNNNNNNNNNNNNNNNNNNNNNNNNNNNNNNNNNNNNNNNNNNNNNNNNNNNNNNNNNNNNNNNNNNNNNNNNNNNNNNNNNNNNNNNNNNNNNNGAAACGACUGCCACAAUAGUAUCUUCCCCUUCGGCUAGAUUUGCCUUAGGAGGAUAGUCGUUUUUAGCCCUAUGUCUGCACUGAGGUGCAUGAUGGCCUGGCUUUCCACAUACAAAGCAAUUACCUUUUUUCUUGAAAGUGGGGUUAGUUCCACUGGGACGAGAGAAUUUGUUAUUAGGUUUCUUUUUGUGAUCAAAUUUUUUCUCGUACCUUUUUGGAGUUGGUUUGUCUUCUAUCACGUUUGCUUUGGCAGACAAAGCUUUGGCCUUUGCAGCAGCGCACUCCUUCCUGUUUGUGUCUUCAAUGAUGAUGUGGGUGAUCAAAUCUGAUAGAGACAUCUGUUUCUGUCUGUGCUUCAAUUGUUGUUUGUAAUCCGUCCAAGACUGCGGAAGCUUUUCGAUCAAGAGUUCGGACACGAAUUCAUCUGGCAAUUUUAUGCUUUCAGUUUUGAUAUCUUCAAUCAGCUUGUGAUAUUCGUUUAUUUGGAUUUUGAUGUCUUUGCCUUCGAUCAUCUCCCAGCGGUAGUAUUUUGCAAUUACGAACCUUUGUCUGACGAUGUCUUCGACAAUAUAUUUGAGGAUAAGAGAAUCCCAAAUAUCUUUCGCAUUCUUAUAAGAAGCAUAAACAUCGAACAGAUCGUUAGAUAACACACUGAGUAAAGUGUGACGGCAUACCUUAUUCUCAUGGAUCCAGUCGUCAACUUGUUUCGCAGCCGUGGUUGAGUCGGGUUUGGCAGUUGUAAGUGCAUGAGCAACUCCGUACAUGUCCAAUAGGGUGGACACGCGUUCUUGCCAACGUCGGAAGUUCUGACCGGUGAAGACUUCAAUUUUGGAGACGUCCGGAAAAGGUUUCGCAAAAAUGGUUUGUGUUGCGGAAACAACAUUUGAUGUUUCCGGAGCAGUGUUGUCGUUGUUGUUCGGAUUUUCAGCCAUAAGUCCUUACGAUUGUAGUUAAAAGGGCUUUAAAAUGAACAAAAAUAGUUUCCCGAGACGUGAGUAAUCACUGUCCGUAAGGACUUAUCCGCAGUGUAUUGCGUAAGUCCCCCAGGAUACAACAGGGACUUUCCGGUAAUUUUUGAGGAUCAGAACUAGCAAGUUUUUCUUUAAAAGAGUAAUACCAAAUAGAACCCAAAAAUAUUAUAAUAUUAAAAUAAAGAGGAGAGAUAAAGUGAAAAGUGGAAAUUGGGAAAAGAAGAAGAUGGUGAGCGGAGGAAGAAGAUGAAGUAGUGAGAGUUACAUUUUCUGAAGAGGGGAAAGCGGUAUUUAUAGAUGGAGAACCCCAAAGGAUGCCGCCUCUUCAAACCCUAGUGGGUUCAAGGUUGUCGCCGCAGAAGAGGGAAGACCAGCGUGAAGGAAGGAGUCAACCUCCCACUCCUCUCGUAACGAUCUACAACGUUCAAAAAUCCAGCAGUGCGGAGGCGCCCAACUUCCGAUUCGUGCGGCCACGAUCCAAGGUUGAAAGGGCAACGUUUGAUUUUCAACUUGGAAACUGUCUCCACUUCACCCAUGCUUCCGAGAUUUCCUCCAACGGCACUAUGAAGAAGUUAGGGUUUUUCUGCGCAUCCUCUAUUUCUGUUUCUGC
rnacentral:lncRNA from 1 species